CUACGGGAGGCAGCAGUCGAGAAUCUUCCGCAAUGGACGAAAGUCUGACGGAGCGACGCCGCGUGAAGGAUGAAGGCCCUCGGGUUGUAAACUUCUGUCAGAGUUCAAAGAAACGGUGUUCAUGAAUAUUGGGCACCUUGACAUCAGGCUCAAAGGAAGCACCGGCUAACUCUGUGCCAGCAGCCGCGGUAAUACAGAGGGUGCAAACGUUGCUCGGAAUCACUGGGCAUAAAGCGCACGUAGGCGGCCUAUUAAGUGCGGUGUGAAAGCCCCCGGCUCAACCGGGGAACUGCACUGCAUACUGGUAGGCUAGAGCUUGGGAGGGGAAAGUGGAACUCCUGGUGGAGCGGUGGAAUGCGUAGAUAUCAGGAGGAACGCCAGAGGUGAAGACGACUUUCUGGCCCAAUGCUGACGCUGAGGUGCGAAAGCUAGGGGAGCGAACGGGAUUAGAAACCCCAGUAGUCC
rnacentral:rRNA from 1 species